AAAUUAAUCAUUUCAUGAAUAAAUGGCAACCUGCAACUAAAUUUAUUACAAUGGCACUAGUCGCAACUGAAAAGAAUAGAACUUCCAGAAAGUGCUAUCAAAGAGGAUAUUAAUCUGGAGUACCUGUCCAGUACUAUAAGUUCAGACCGGGAACCAGGCUACGAGGAUAUGCCGUAAUACAAAUUGGCUAGGUGCUAUGGAGAUCGUAUCCAGCGGCCAAGGUCGUAUACCAAAGACCUUUAGUGUCUUGUAAGCAUGUGAUGUUUGAGUUUUUAUCGUUUACUGAUGAAAGAAAAUAAAAUUUGGCGAUUCCA
rnacentral:lncRNA from 1 species